AUACGUAGGUGGCGAGCGUUGUCCGGAAUUACUGGGCGUAAAGCGUGCGCAGGCGGUUUUGUAAGACAGUGGUGAAAUCCCCGGGCUCAACCUGGGAACUGCCAUUGUGACUGCAAGGCGGGAGUGCGGCAGAGGGCGAUGGAAUUCCGCGUGUAGCAGUGAAAUGCGUAGAUAUGCGGAGGAACACCGAUGGCGAAGGCAAUCCCCUGGGCCUGCACUGACGCUCAUGCACGAAAGCGUGGGGAGCAAACAGGAUUAGAUACCCUGGUAGUCCACGCCCUAAACGAUGUCAACUGGUUGUUGGGGAUUUAUUUUCUCAGUAACGAAGCUAACGCGUGAAGUUGACCGCCUGGGGAGUACGGCCGCAAGGUUAAAACUCAAAGGAAUUGACGGGG
rnacentral:rRNA from 1 species